CUGGAAACCCUCUUCCAUAUCUCCUUUUGUAUGACCUCUCACAGUUACUUCACAAAUGGCAGGGUUUUGUCAAGUGGUCAGGUGGUGCAGAUCCAUCCUUCUUCUGUAUUUUUCCGGACAAAGCCAGACUGCAUAAUUUUUGAUGAGUUUGUCCGAACUACUCAUAAUUACGUGCGCAAUGUUACUAGAAUUGAUUACUUGUGGUUAGCUGAGCUCGCUCCUCAGUACUAUACCUUGCAAGAGCAGGAGCAGGAGUAGAAUUCACGGCCUUAAUCUUAAGGAUGAUAGGUUGCUGUUUGUUUGGAGGGGACUUGUUGAAUUGCAUUCCAGUACUGGACUCCGAUGGACUGCAAUCUUGAUACAUCCAUUGGGCUAUUGUUGCAAAGAGAGAGCCUGUGAAAGCUUUAUUGAUUUUUAAAAUGUAUUCAAGCUUGGUUUUAUUUGCCUAACGAGCUGAUUUUUUUAAUGAGCCAAAUAUAAGUCAAGUUUGAAC